UACGGAGGGUGCAAGCGUUAAUCGGAAUUACUGGGCGUAAAGCGCGCGCAGGUGGCUGAGUCAGUCGAUCGUGAAAGCCCUGGGCUUAACCUGGGAAUUGCGGUCGAUACUACUCGGCUAGAGUAUGGGAGAGGGCAGUGGAAUUCCCGGUGUAGCGGUGAAAUGCGUAGAUAUCGGGAGGAACAGCAGUGGCGAAGGCGGCUGCCUGGCCCAAUACUGACACUCAGGUGCGAAAGCGUGGGGAGCAAACAGG
rnacentral:rRNA from 1 species